UACGUAGGGUGCAAGCGUUGUCCGGAAUUAUUGGGCGUAAAGAGCUCGUAGGCGGUUUGUCGCGUCUGCUGUGAAAAUCCAGGGCUUAACCCUGGACCUGCAGUGGGUACGGGCAGACUGGAGUGCGGUAGGGGAGAUCGGAAUUCCUGGUGUAGCGGUGAAAUGCGCAGAUAUCAGGAGAACACCGGUGGCGAAGGCGGACUCUCGUCGGCUACUGACGCUGAGGAGCGAAAGCUGGGGAGCGAACAGG
rnacentral:rRNA from 1 species